AUGCUGGGUGCGUGCAGCUUCAGGACAAAGGGCAAUAAAACACAUUCCACAGGCACCCCCCCUGCACUAAGUCGACACGGGACAGUGUCCAGUUUCACCCGAGGCCGACAUCGAUUGGACGCCACACAGCUCAGGCAGGGAGGCAGCAAGCGUCCAGUUGAGCAUGUGACAACACAGGAUCGCAAGAGGAACUGCAGCGGGGUGACGCAUGAGCAGGCUCCUGCAGUGGCAGAUGAGACUGAGAUCUCCCCUCCUACAUUUUCUGUACAUUGUGACACACAAGCAGACUUCUGCAAUAGCCGACAAAAUCCUCAAGCCUCAGCCAUCAGCCUUCCACUACAGGCAGUGUGAUGGUGCAGCAGGACAACGGCAUUCAAAGAAACAGCUCUGUGAAGCAGUCCCAUGUCUGUGAAGGAUGCCAGUCAGCAGGAUGAAAACAUUUCUCUGCAUGCAGCAGCAGUCUGACAAGUCCCAGAUGGGUAAGGUUAGGUGUUCAACUCUUUAGGAUGAACAGAGUGCUGCAGCGCCAGCUAAAGUUGCAGUUUCACGGAGCUGUUUGUCUUCAUGCUACAACUUCAGCCCAUUUUCACACUCAUACAGCUUCACAGUCUGUUCUUGUACUGAAUGGAUUGUGUACAAACAGACUGGCGCUGCAGCAGUCUGUUUAUCCUGAAGCAUUGAACACCUUACCUUACCUUACCUUACCUUCCUGGGACUUGUCAGACUGCUGCUGCAUGUAGAGAAAUGUUUUCAUCCUGCUGACUGUCAUCCUUCACAGAUAUAGGACUGCUUCACAGAGCUGUUUCUUUGAAUGCUGUCAUCCUGCUGCAAGUCACACUGAGUCUCUGUCACAAUCUGUGCAACAAAAUGACAAAGGUCAGUAUGCAUGUCGUAGUUCACAGAGCUGCUUGUCUUCAUGCUGCAACUUCAGCCCACUUUGACACUC
rnacentral:lncRNA from 1 species